rnacentral:rRNA from 1 species
AUACGGAGGGUGCAAGCGUUAUCCGGAAUCAUUGGGUUUAAAGGGUCCGCAGGCGGAUUAAUAAGUCAGUGGUGAAAUCCUCUCGCCCAACGAGAGAACUGCCAUGGAAACUGUUAGUCUUGAAUUCGGUCGAAGUAGGCGGAAUGUGUCAUGUAGCGGUGAAAUGCAUAGAUAUGACACAGAACACCGAUAGCGAAGGCAGCUUACUAGACCUGGAUUGACGCUCAUGGACGAAAGCGUGGGGAGCGAGCAGGAUUAGAAACCCUAGUAGUCC